GACGAACGCUGGCGGCGUGCCUAAUACAUGCAAGUCGAACGCAGUGGGGACGGGUGAGUAACACGUGGGUAACCUCCCAUCAGAGGGGAUAACACUUGGAAACAGGUGCUAAACCGAUACGGGUGGAUGGACCCGCGGGGCAUUAGCUAGUUGGUGAGGUAACGGCUCACCAAGGCCACGAUGCAUAGCGGACCUGAGAGGGUGAUCGGCCACACUGGAACUGAGACACGGUCCAGACUCCUACGGGAGGCAGCAGUAGGGAAUCUUCGGCAAUGGACGAAAGCCUGACCGAGCAACGCCGCGUGUGUGAAGAAGGUUUUCGGAUCGUAAAGCUCUUUUGUUAGAGAAGCGGUAUCUAACCAGAAAGCCCCGGCUAACUACGUGCCAGCCGCCGCGGUAAUAC
rnacentral:rRNA from 1 species